ACGCUGGCGGCGUGCCUAAUACAUGCAAGUCGAACGAGAAGCGACCGGUGCUUGCACUGGUCAAUCUAGUGGCGAACGGGUGAGUAACACGUGGGUAACCUGCCCAUCAGAGGGGGAUAACAUUCGGAAACGGAUGCUAAAACCGCAUAGGUCCUUUAACCGCAUGGUUGAAGGAGGAAAAGAGGCGCAAGCUUCUGCUGAUGGAUGGACCCGCGGUGCAUUAGCUAGUUGGUGAGGAACGGCUCACCAAGGCCGUGAUGCAUAGCCGACCUGAGAGGGUGAUCGGCCACAUUGGGACUGAGACACGGCCCAAACUCCUACGGGAGGCAGCAGUAGGGAAUCUUCCGCAAUGGACGCAAGUCUGACGGAGCAACGCCGCGUGAGUGAAGAAGGUUUUCGGAUCGUAAAACUCUGUUGUUAGAGAAGAACAAGUGCUAGAGUAACUGUUAGCGCCUUGACGGUAUCUAACCAGAAAGCCACGGCUAACUACGUGCCAGCAGCCGCGGUAAUACGUAGGUGGCAAGCGUUGUCCGGAUUUAUUGGGCGUAAAGCGAGCGCAGGCGGUUCCUUAAGUCUGACGUGAAAGCUCUCGGCUCCACCGGGGAGGGUCAUUGGAAACUGGGGAACUUGAGUGCAGAAGAGGAGAGUGGAAUUCCAUGUGUAGCGGUGAAAUGCGUAGAUAUAUGGAGGAACACCAGUGGCGAAGGCGACUCUCUGGUCUGUAACUGACGCUGAGGCUCGAAAGCGUGGGUAGCAAACAGGAUUAGAUACCCUGGUAGUCCACGCCGUAAACGAUGAGUGCUAAGUGUUGGAGGGUUUCCGCCCUUCAGUGCUGCAGUUAACGCAUUAAGCACUCCGCCUGGGGAGUACGACCGCAAGGUUGAAACUCAAAGGAAUUGACGG
rnacentral:rRNA from 1 species